rnacentral:rRNA from 1 species
GCUACGGGUGGCAGCAGUGAGGAAUAUUGGUCAAUGGGCGUAAGCCUGAACCAGCCAAGUCGCGUGAGGGAUGAAGGUUCUAUGGAUCGUAAACCUCUUUUAUAAGGGAAUAAAGUGCGGGACGUGUCCCGUUUUGUAUGUACCUUAUGAAUAAGGAUCGGCUAACUCCGUGCCAGCAGCCGCGGUAAUACGGAGGCUCCGAGCGUUAUCCGGAUUUAUUGGGUUUAAAGGGUGCGUAGGCGGCCUUUUAAGUCAGCGGUGAAAGUCUGUGGCUCAACCAUAGCAUUGCCGUUGAAACUGGGAGGCUUGAGUAUGUUUGAGGCAGGCGGAAUGCGUGGUGUAGCGGUGAAAUGCUUAGAGAUCAUACAGAACACCGAUUGCGAAGGCAGCUUACCAAUCUAUAUCUGACGUUGAGGCACGAAAGCGUGGGGAGCAAACAGGAUUAGAUACCCUUGUAGUC